CGCGGGGUGGACCAGUAGUAGGUCGCAGGUCUCAUAAGCCUGAGGCCCCCGUGCAAUUCGGGGCCCCGCAA
rnacentral:tRNA from 1 species